rnacentral:rRNA from 1 species
UACGUAGGGUGCGAGCGUUGUCCGGAAUUACUGGGCGUAAAGAGUUCGUAGGCGGUUUGUCGCGUCGUUCGUGAAAACUUGGGGCUUAACUCCAAGCGUGCGGGCGAUACGGGCAGACUUGAGUACUACAGGGGAGACUGGAAUUCCUGGUGUAGCGGUGAAAUGCGCAGAUAUCAGGAGGAACACCGGUGGCGAAGGCGGGUCUCUGGGGUAGUAACUGACGCUGAGGAACGAAAGCGUGGGUAGCGAACAGG